AACACUGUUAACCUGCGGUACCUGCGGAAGGAUCAUUACAGAGUUGCAAAACUCCCACAAACCAUCGCGAAUCUUACCCGUACGGUUGCCUCGGCGCUGGCGGUCCGGAAGGCCCUCGGGCCCCCGGACCCUCGGGUCCCCCGCUCGCGGGGGGCUGCCCGCCGGAGUGCCGAAACCAAACUCUUGAUAUUUUAUGUCUCUCUGAGUAAACUUUUAAAUAAGUCAAAACUUUUAGCAAUG
rnacentral:misc_RNA from 1 species